rnacentral:rRNA from 1 species
GUUAGGAAUAUUGGACAAUGGGCGCAAGCCUGAUCCAGCCAUGCCGCGUGAGUGAUGAAGGCCUUCGGGUUGUAAAGCUCUUUAGUCCACGAAUAUAAUGACUGUAGUGGAAGAAUAAGCCCCGGCUAACUUCGUGCCAGCAGCCGCGGUAAUACGAAGGGGGCGAGCGUUAUUCGGAAUCACUGGGCGUAAAGCGUGCGUAGGCUGUUUUGUAAGUCAGAAGUGAAAGCCCAGGGCUUAACCCUUGAAUUGCUUUUGAAACUACAAGACUCGAAUUCGGGAGAGGAUAGCGGAAUUGCCAGUGUAGCAGUGAAAUGCGUAGAUAUUGACAGGAACACCAGUGGCGCAAGCGGCUAUCUGGACCGAUAUUGACGCUGAGGCACGAAAGCGUGGGGAGCAAACAGGAUUAGAAACCCUAGUAGUCC